GGCUGGUCUGGAGGUAGUGUGUUACCUCAAUUGGUAACUCACACAGUCAGUUACAAAUAGAAUUCCUGAUCUAUGCUUCCCUCUAGCCCCCUUCCCCCACUUACUAUUGCACUUGACUAGAGACAGAG
ensembl:misc_RNA Gm22199 predicted gene, 22199